rnacentral:rRNA from 1 species
AGAGUUUGAUCAUGGCUCAGAUUGAACGCCGGCGGCAUGCCUUACACAUGCGAGUCGAACGGCAGCAUGAUCUAGCUUGCUAGAUUGAUGGCGAGUGGCGAACGGGUGAGUAAUACAUCGGAACGUGCCCUGUAGUGGGGGAUAACUAGUCGAAAGAUUAGCUAAUACCGCAUACGACCUGAGGGUGAAAGUGGGGGACCGCAAGGCCUCAUGCUAUAGGAGCGGCCGAUGUCUGAUUAGCUAGAUGGUGAGGUAAAGGCUCACCAAGGCGACGAUCAGUAGCUGGUCUGAGAGGACGAUCAGCCACACUGGGACUGAGACACGGCCCAGACUCCUACGGGAGGCAGCAGUGGGGAAUUUUGGACAAUGGGCGAAAGCCUGAUCCAGCAAUGGCCGCGUGUGUGAAGAAGGCCUUCGGGUUGUAAAGCACUUUUGUCCGGAAAGAAAUGGCUCUGGUUAAUACCUGGGGUCGAUGACGGUACCGGAAGAAUAAGGACCGGCUAACUACGUGCCAGCAGCCGCGGUAAUACGUAGGGUCCAAGCGUUAAUCGGAAUUACUGGGCGUAAAGCGUGCGCAGGCGGUUGUGCAAGACCGAUGUGAAAUCCCCGAGCUUAACUUGGGAAUUGCAUUGGUGACUGCACGGCUAGAGUGUGUCAGAGGGGGGUGAAUUCCACGUGUAGCAGUGAAAUGCGUAGAGAUGUGGAGGAAUACCGAUGGCGAAGGCAGCCCCCUGGGAUAACACUGACGCUCAUGCACGAAAGC